rnacentral:rRNA from 1 species
UUGGGGGAAUAUUGGGACAAUGGGCGCAAGCCUGAUCCAGCAAUGCCGCGUGUGUGAAGAAGGCCCCUCGGGUUGUAAAGCACUUUUAUCAGGAGCGAAAUCUGCAAGGCUAAUACCCUUGUAGUCUGACGGUACCUGAGGAAUAAGCACCGGCUAACUCCGUGCCAGCAGCCGCGGUAAUACGGAGGGUGCAAGCGUUAAUCGGAAUUACUGGGCGUAAAGCGUGUGUAGGCGGUUUGUUAAGUCUGUUGUGAAAGCCCCGGGGCUCAACCUGGGAAUGGCAAUGGAUACUGGCAAGCUAGAGUGUGAUAGAGGAUGGUGGAAUUCCCGGUGUAGCGGUGAAAUGCGUAGAGAUCGGGAGGAACAUCAGUGGCGAAGGCGGCCAUCUGGAUCAACACU